AUUGAACGCUGGCGGCAGGCCUAACACAUGCAAGUCGAACGAGCGGCGGACGGGUGAGUAAUGUAUGGGAAACUGCCCGAUGGAGGGGGAUAACUACUGGAAACGGUGGCUAAUACCGCAUACUAUCGGAUGAACCCAUAUGGGAUUAGCUAGUAGGUGGGGUAAAGGCUCACCUAGGCGACGAUCCCUAGCUGGUCUGAGAGGAUGACCAGCCACACUGGAACUGAGACACGGCCCAGACUCCUACGGGAGGCAGCAGUGGGGAAUAUUGCACAAUGGGCGCAAGCCUGAUGCAGCCAUGCCGCGUGUAUGAAGAAGGCCUUCGGGUUGUAAAGUACUUUCAGCGAGGAGGCGUUACCCGCAGAAGAAGCACCGGCUAACUCCGUGCCAGCAGCCGCGGUAAUUC
rnacentral:rRNA from 1 species